UACGAACUGUGCGAACGUUAUUCGGAAUCACUGGGCUUAAAGGGUGCGUAGGCGGCUAUGAAGGUCAGGUGUGAAAUCCCACGGCUCAACCGUGGAACUGCGCCUGAAACCACGUAGCUUGAGGAAGUCAGAGGUAAGCGGAACUGAUGGUGGAGCGGUGAAAUGCGUUGAUAUCAUCAGGAACACCGGUGGCGAAAGCGGCUUACUGGGACUUUUCUGACGCUGAGGCACGAAAGCCAGGGGAGCGAACGGGAUUAGAUACCCGCGUA
rnacentral:rRNA from 1 species